rnacentral:lncRNA from 1 species
GAAAAGCUCUAGCAUGCUGCAGACUAACAUGUUUGAAGACUUCUCGAGGAGAUCUUCAAAAAUGAUAGCCCGGAGCCUAAUUGUGUUUUUUUAAUUAUGUUGAGACAGUUUGAAUAAGCCAGUGUGAUAGAUUACAACCACACCUUUGGCAUGCCAACACAUACUUCUGAGGGAGCACUCUGAAUUUGCAAAGCACAGCAUGGGAAUGCUUUGCAUAUGAACAUUUUCAUGUGAUGAAUUCAGGAAAGGAGCAGUCCCUCAUCCCCAGAAGAAUGCCCCUCAUUCCUGUAAUGCAGGAGGGGUAUUAUUGGCCAGUUUCUAGACAGCUAUUACCAUUUAGCUCUGCUUUUCAAAUGAAAGGUAUUUGAAAUAUAAGGAUAGAGGACAAAAGUAACACCUACUAGACUAUACUUCUAACUUCAAAACUUUGUCAGUGAUCAAAGGGAAGGAAGUGAUUCAUACCUUCAUAGCAUUAUGAUCAUGGCAAUCUGUUCCUCCUCAUUCUGUUUCCAGACUUCAUUCAGGGAUGUGACACCUUCUGCUCCUCUAUCCAUGAUCUCCCACAAGCUUGGGUUCCCACACAACAGAAAUAAAUCAUCUUCAUGUAACUGGCUUCUGACAGGACACUGA